CCCAUUUCUGUGUGUGUGGCAUCAUGAAUGGUUUCCAUGGAAACGAAAGGUUGAGCUAGAACGGUGCCAACGCGCAUCUAAACUUCAGAAUUGAACAGGGGCUAUUGUUUUUGCCAGCCAUGGGGUUUCAUUCCUUCUGAAGAUGUCACGGGGGAUUUUGGAAUGUGUGCCCAUGACUUCCCGGUUUUCUCUCCUUUUCCGGCCCCCCUGGCUAACGAAACAUGGACUGACUGACGCGGGAGCGCCGCGGAUCCUCACAUUCCUAGCUCUUCAGGCUCUCCCUUAGUUUUGCAUGUGCGUGUAAAUGGUAACGAGUAAGAUCAAUGGAGGCAAAAAACCAGGAGAUCCCAUAAAUCCCGUCGAGCUCAUCACAGCUGCCAAAUUAUGCCCUGAUAAAGCUUUUGGUGGCUAACGAUAUGGCCGUUCACCCGGAGUGGAUGCGGCCAGGAGGGAGGUUUCUGGAGAGCGUCUGGCCCUCGGUGGAGACACUUGUCCUGAAGCGUUAUCUGAAGGCCCUCUGGCCCUAACGAAGGGUGAAGCUUUGAACGUGAUUAUUUCUAAACAAAUAAAUAAUAAGGAUAACUUAAAAAUAAACAGAGAUCUCGA